UGCGCCGCGGCGGUGGGCGGCGACCAGGCUUUACCCGCCGGGACUCGGCGCCCAACCGGAGCUUUAAUCCGUUGCGUUUAACGCCGCCCGGUUUUCAUGCUCUUUCUGCUGCCGAAGGCUCCCUUAAGGAACGGCCGAACGUCUUCUUAAAGCGUGCUCGUAGGGUGAAAAUUCUUCCUGCCAUGAAAUACACUCCUCUCUCAACACACGACAAGGCAUUCUUCGUUAAAUAGGGUGUGAUUGUCUCACUCAGAGAGGAGCUACAUCAGUCUGCCUUUUCCUGACCAUGAUUUGAAUGUCAGAAUCAGCCCAACACAAUGCAAGAACAAAGCCAUGGAAUCAAGAAUUUAGGAAAAAAUAAGUGUCUUACCUCAUUUUUUUUUCCUAGCAAGGGGUUCUGCCUUAUGUGGUCUGGGGUAGAGCUGUUUCUCAUGUUCAUAGCAACAUCAGUUUGGUCACUGUCGUUCAUGCCAAGUGGCAGAGCAAUUUGCUGAUUAACUCAAAAAGAGACGCAGAAUGAGACUUUUUUCCAUUAAAUUUUUCAUGAAUUUUUCCUAUGUUGACAAACCUAAUUCCUGGGUUUGUACUCUCUGGGACAGUCAUUAAAGGAGUAGUCAGUGAAUCAAUCCUUACAAGACAUGCAGACAAACUAAAAUGUUCAAAUGCAACUACCUGACCGUGAAUGGAAGGCACUGAUGUGAAAAUGCAGCAACCCUUUGCACGGAGCCCAGUGUCAGUCUUGUGCUGGCUUAUCUCACAGGAAAGUCACAUCAUGGGUUUGAAUUCAUUAUUUAAUCUUGAUAUUCUCAGUGAGACACUGGCUGUUAGAAGUGACUUUGUAAAUCAGUCUGCAGGAGAUUGGAACGGGGAGAAAUUGAUGAGAACAAGGAGACAUCUUGAAGGAAGAACCAGGAAACAGCAGAAUGGUUGGAUGUUGAGGAUCCUCCACCUCUACCAGUCAGAAUUCCCUGACCUCAAGUCUGUCUUUGCUUCAUGAACUAAGCAAAAAAAUAAAAAUAAGAAAAAGGAAUUAAAAAACCAGGAAAAAAAAAAAAGCAGCAGCAAAAUGUCAGUAUAAGACUUCUUCGCCUAAAUCAGAAAAUGCAGUACUGAAGAGCCCACAAGAAGCUGGUAGACAAGGAGCAGUGAUGGAAUCUUAAAAGAAUUUAGCUGACAAAUGUGAAAGAGUGGCAUGAAUCAAUCAGGGAUUUACAGUUUGGACAGGUUGGAUGGUUUCCCACAAGGGAAUUGAACCCGAAGGCCAUGCAGCUUCUUUCUUCCUUAACUGUGGUUGCGUGACAAUUUAGUGGCUUCUGCCAAGAUGAGAAGGCAUUUUCUUAAUAAAGUAAUUAAUGAGCAGAAUUUCUUCUGUUGAUGAACAAGUAGUUUUUCCUACCUCGUUAUUUUAAAUGUGGGGACUGCGUUCAGUUCAGAGUGUCUUUUUAAACCAGCCUGAUGGACUUGCUUGACAUGGACAGCUCAAAUGGUUUCAGUUUGGCAAAAUGGCAACCAACUGAAGACAUGAUCUUCUGGUGAUCACAAAGCAACAGGUGAUCUUGUGUGAGUACAUCCAAGAAGAUGGGGCUGAGAUUUGAAUGAAGAGCUGAACAGCCAUGUGACCACGUCUGAAAGAGAACACAGCUGGGCAAUGCUAGUGCAGAAGGAGGACUCUGGAGACUCUUCUCAUUAAAAUAUCUCUCAGUAAUGAUUGUCAAAGAGAACUGUUCCUCUGUUCUGUGAAUACUACCAUGCGUUACGGAUCUUGUUGUCUGCAAAUGCGAGUGGUUGGUACGUGGAAUGCACCACAGCAGCAAACAGACUUGCAGCGAAAAUCUGAAUUUUGGACAGGACUUUCUAAGAAAUCUAUGUCCACAUUGACCUGUGGAGUCCUUUUGAAAUGACUGAAGGAAGGAGCCUGCAGGCCCUCCCAAGAGCAGCAGUGCCAUUUUGAACCAAAGGCAAUAAAACUCAGAUUCUGCCAA